CCUCCCCGAGCCCCGCUGCCUCCCGCCUCCCUCCUCCCCGGCGCCCGCCUCCCCGCGGCGUGCCCGCCUCCCUCCCUCCGUCCCCCGGCCGGCAGCCGGGCAGCGGGCGGGCGCUGCCGCCGGCCCCACAGCACCGCGGCCGGGCUGCGCGGAGCGGAGCGGAGCGGAGCGGGGCUGGCUGGGCGGGGAGGGAGGGAGGGAGGGGAGUGGAUGUGUGUGUGUGUGGAAAGAGCGGGGGGGGGCGAAGGGGGGGAAAUCAAAUAAAUAAAUAAGCUCCCCACCAAUAAGAGAGGCAGCGGCUGGCGAGCAGGCUGGGCUCGGCUGGGAGAGGUCCUCGCUCGGCUGCGUGUUUGUUUGUGUUGUGACCAGAGCCGCGAAGUUCAGAGCCCAAACGUGUUGCUCCGCUCCGCUCCACCUGCUCGGCCGGCGGGGGGGUGCCGCUUCGGCCGCCCCGCCGCCCUCCGGGGCCGAAGGACGGGAGAGGAGCGCGGGGCCGCGCCCGCCGCCCGCCCGCCUUCCCCUCAGCCACCGCCGGGGAGGCGACGGACAGGGGGAAGAGAAAGCAUGCGAGGCAGCUGUAUGCCACAACGUGCUGUUGUGACCACCUGGCAGUGCAGAACCAGAGGGCAGAUCUGCUGCCGUCCUGCUGCGUGUGAUCUUGACCCAUGUGGAAUAUUUGGAACAGGAGUGUUUUGAACAUAAAAAGGGAAGUGUUCGAGUUGGUCUUCCCUUCUGAUACACAAAUAUGCAUUGACAGUUCUUCUGUUUAUUCAGGAACCAUUUUGCCUUUUAAAUAAAGUUAAAAAUCCCAUUGAUUUAAUCUCUUUA
rnacentral:lncRNA from 1 species